GUUGUUGUUUUUGUGAUGCGUGCUCUCCAACACGUGUUCAUUUCAGUCAAAACAUGUUUUUCUGUUUGUGAAAUAUAAACAGGAAGUGAUGGACAAACUCCAGAGGUUAAAUCAGGAGAUAAGCCGAGCUGUCUAACUAGGACGAUAACUCCGCAGCGCACGUCAUCUGAGGGAAGCAAUCAAAAGCCCUCCGGCUCAACUCGACGCCGCCGCCAUCCCUCGCUCACCUUCAGCUGCUGUUUUGUUCUUCAUUCAUGUCGGGCCUUCCUCCGCCGGCCCGUUUGACUGACAGAUGGCUGUUGGAGUCGCAGUCUGUGGCCUCGGCUGUGACGGAGCACACGCACCGCCAGCAGAAUGUUAAUACAGCCUCGCAUUACUGUUGAAUAAUGUCAUAAAAUCACUGCUCAUAUUUUUAUAACCGCAUUUGAAUGUUGCUGCAGUUAUUAAGAAGUCAGCCUCGAGGCAGACAUAUUGCCGG
rnacentral:lncRNA from 1 species